GACGAACGCUGGCGGCGUGCUUAACACAUGCAAGUCGAACGCUGAAGCUUGGUGCUUGCACUGGGUGGAUGAGUGGCGAACGGGUGAGUAAUACGUGAGUAACCUGCCCUUGACUCUGGGAUAAUCCUGGGAAACUGGGUCUAAUACUGGAUACGACAUGUCACCGCAUGGUGGUGUGUGGAAAGGGUUUUACUGGUUUUGGAUGGGCUCACGGCCUAUCAGCUUGUUGGUGGGGUAAUGGCUCACCAAGGCGACGACGGGUAGCCGGCCUGAGAGGGUGACCGGCCACACUGGGACUGAGACACGGCCCAGACUCCUACGGGAGGCAGCAGUGGGGAAUAUUGCACAAUGGGCGGAAGCCUGAUGCAGCGACGCCGCGUGAGGGAUGACGGCCUUCGGGUUGUAAACCUCUUUCAGCACGGAAGAAGCGAAAGUGACGGUACGUGCAGAAGAAGCGCCGGCUAACUACGUG
rnacentral:rRNA from 1 species